CCGGAAGCUGCCUUUGAAGCCAACAAAUGCCAUUUGCUCUGAAAAGCAAUGAUGAGCUUCCUGAGCAAACGCCCUAUGAGAGGACGGCUGCCCCGCCCUGUUCCAGGGCUCCCAUCACCAGCCCCUGCCUGCACCAGAUGGAGUCUCGCUGUGUCAUCCAGGCUGGAGUGCAGUGGCGCUAUCUUAGCUCACUGCGACCUCCGCCUCUCAGGUUCAAGUGAUCCUCCUGCCUCAGCCACCUGAGUAGCUGGGAUUACAGCACUUGCUCUGAAAGAAGACUUGGUUCAACAGAAGAAAAAAAGCCCAUUGUUUUCACCAUCUCAAAUCUGGUGGGUAGAUACCACAACCAAGUCCUGGCAUGACCCCCCUGUCUGCAGUAACAAAUCUGUCAUGUCGUGUGGCCACAAAAUGAUCUCCAGAUUUCCUGUUAUGCCAAUGAAGCACAGGAGAAAAUGGACUCCCAGAAACCACCCCAAAGUAAUCACUCUCCCGUCUCUGCUUGGUACCUUUGGGCCAUGGUCUUCGCAUUUCUAAGAUCCAGAAGCAGGGCUCCUGCGGGCCACCCACGGAAAAGCCUCUCCUUUCAUCCCUGACUUAUCUCCCAUCCAUCGGCUCUGUGGCUUUCAGUCAUGGGGCCCUCCCAGGUGUGGGGGGCAGAAUCUUUCUGAAAAAGAACUUUUCACUGGCUUCUGAGUGACAAGUGCCUCAGGGGAGCGAGACAGAGGGCUGGACCUGCAGAACUGAUGAGAAGAGAGACUCACAAGUCCAGCGAAGGAUUCACUGAAGGACAGACUGAAAAUGGAUUAUAAUCAGAUCUAAUCAUGAAGAACCAGAUACAGAAGGGCUUUUGCAGUCACUUCAUUUUCCAUUUGAGGAAAUGGAAGGUCAGAGUGUGCUCAGGGCCUGAUGGUGAGUGGGGAGGAGAACGUGGGCCCACAGGUGACAUGGGGUCUGGGCUGUUUUUCUUUACCCCUGGAUCCUGGCCCUGUGACCAAGAGAGCACUGUGGGACUGUGGGACCUUUCCCACAAAGGCAACCUUCAACACAAUGCCUCCACCUGUGACUCAAUGGCCAUGCCCCAUGAGAGCGUGAGUCCUGUCUUUCCCAAGCCUCUUUUCCGGUCCACGGACCCUGGCCUCUUCCUCCAAGGACUAAUACAUCAUGUCAGUCCCAUGUACAGGUCUUCUCUCUGGCAGCCACAGGAGUGUGCUGCUCUGAUCUCUCUCGGAGGGAGCCUGCCGCCAAGGGGGUCGAGAGUGGACAGCCUCCAGCAGCUGCACCUUCAGGAUCCAUGUGUGUUUUCUCCGGGGUUGUGCUCUUCUUGGACUCCUCCCGGUGAGUGAGCUCCGCAGAGGUACCAGAGUCCAGAGUCGGGUCCUUCCUGCCCCAGGCUUCAGACCUGCAUUUGAAGGUCUGAAGGAAGGAUGGAAAAGUGAAGGAGCUCCUGACAGCCUGCAGGCUCCCUCUGCUACUCCUGCCGCUCUCUCCUUGGUCCUACACGCCGCCUACCACCUGCACAUCUAAAUCUGCCUGGACACAUCUUCCUCCUUUGCUUUUUCCUCACCUGUGGAAGAGCUUGAGGAUCAACACAGAGACCAAAAGAGUUUUGGCCCCCUCUGCUUCCCUGUCUUUCCUAGUCUUCCCAACUACCCCAGGGCAAGAUGCUCCCUGCAGACAAAUAGGACAGUAAAAAUGGGCCCUUCUUUUUACAGAGCUGGAGUAUCUUUCCCUUAGGCCUUCCAGAAGCCUGGGUUUCCAGCCAUGCUGGAUCUGGAAGUUCCUUUGUUUCCUGGUGGGCAUCCCCGUGGACGGCUGUGUCUGUGCCCAGAAAUACUCCCAAAAGGCCUUCCAGCCAGCAGGGCUGGCUUGGGCUGUUCUCAGGGUGCAAAGGAAGAACUGACUGCUAGUGCCCUAGAGGCAUCUCACAGCAGCCCCUGAACUGACUAAGAGCAGCCCAUGAACUGACCAAGCGAUGGGGAGCCCCAGGGGUGGGUCCUGAGAGCACAGAGUGAACUUCGCAAAGGGAAGGAAUCAGACUUCCCAAACUCCCCAAAGGGUUGAGCAUGUUGAGAGAAACGUGCAGAGAGCAGCAGGCUCAGUCCUGCCGGGCAGGGGAGGGCAAAGAGGUCUCCAUGCAAAACUCAGCUCCCUGCGUACCAGUUUAAGGGACUGACACAGCGAAAUGCCCAGCUCCUGUGGGUUCAUCUCUCAUCACUCCCACCUACCCUCUUCUGUUCCAGCCAGACCAGACUCUCAUCCUUCCUUGGACAUGCACGAGCUUUCAUCAUGUGUCUCCCUCCACCUGCGACAGCUUUCUCCACUUUGCCCCUCACCAUCCAGCUCGUUUCUCCUUCUCAGUGAUGCCCUCUUUGACCACAGUCAGCAUUAGCCUUUCCUUCUGGGAAUUCCCACAGUGCUUGGCAGAGCCGAGAAACCAGGCUGAGCCUCCACGCCUCCAGGACACUCAUCCUUUGCCUUCCAAUCAUCCCUCACAGCAUGUGUAUCCUGGUGCUCUGAGUACUGCUCUCAGCUUGCCAGCAUCCACCUUAAAACAUGGUGUCCAGGGGCUGGGUGUGGUGCUCCAUGCCUGUAAUCCCAGCACUUUGGGAGAUCGAGACCAUUCUGGCUAACACUGUGAAACCCCGUCUCUACUAAAAACACAAAAAAUUAGCCAGGCAUGGUGGCACAUGCCUGGAAUCCCAGCUACUCGGGAGAAUUGCUUGGACCUGGGAGGUGGAGGUUGCAGUGAGCCAAGAUCCUUCCACUGCAGUCCAGCCUGGGUGACAGAGCAAGACUCCAUCUCAAAAAAAAAAAAAAAAAAAAAAAAGGGAUGUCCAGGAAGAACACGGAUUAGAGGCAUCUGCUUCCGCUCUUGUAGGUGGCCAGAGAGCCUCCUCAGGGAUCCAGUCUUGAAUGUUGCUACAGAGGUGUCCUGGUUCCACAACCCCCAGAACCCUCUCUACAGGAUACACAGGGUGCUAGGCACCCUGGGGUCAAGGGAACAACAUCAAAGACCUUCCAAUGGAAGAAGCCAGAGUGUGCACUUGGAGCUCAGACCUAGCAGGACUCUGGGAGUCUGGUGGAGGGGAAUAGGGGGUCAUCAUCUUCAGGUGGAGACGCUGGGAACGAGGGCCCUUAUGGAGGGAGGGUGAAGCAGGACACAUAGCCUUGGAGCCAGAUGGCUCUGACUUAGAAUCCUGGCUCAGCUGUUGACUUGCUUGACCUAGUAUCACUGCUGCCCAUAGAUCUUCCAGUAAUGAAGGAAAUGCUCUAUUCUGGGUUAUCCAGAGGGUAGCUGGUAGUCACUGGCGGCUACUGGCCGCGUGAAACCUGGCUGCUGUGACUGAAGAAUAGGUUUUUUUCAUUUUGAGGCGGAGUUUCGUUUUUUUGCCCAGGCUGGAGAGCAAUGGUGUGAUCUCAGCUCACCACAACCUCUGCCUCCCGGGUUCAAGAAAUUCUCCUGCUUCAGCCUCCUGAGUAGCAGGGAUUACAGGCAUGUGCUACCACACCUGGCUAACUUUGUAUUUUUAGUAGAGACUGGGUUUCACUGUGUUGGUCAGGCUGAUCUUGAACUCCCGACCUCAGGUGAUCCGCCCACCUUGGCCUCCCAAAGUGCUGGGAUUACAGGCGUGAGCCACCUCGCCCAAUCGGAAUAAAAUUUUAGACAUUUAAUUUCCAUGAGCCUCAGUUUUCUCAUUUGUGUCACGAAGAAAACAGUAGCCUCUACUGUUUUGUGAAGACUGAACAAGAUGGUUUAUGUGAAGUACUUGGAAUAUCACAGAAAACUAAAUUCAUGUUGAUUCUAGCUAAUGGCAGUAUUCUUUAAGGUAUGGGGGUGUUUACGGGCAAAGUGGGGAGGUGGUAAAGACAAGAGGGCAGGAAAUCAAGGGAGGGGAGUUCCAAUUGCCACACUGUGAGCUGUUGAGAAUCAUACUGUGGGUGACAAAACUUUGAAAUAUUUUUAGAUGAUUCAUGCAUUUUCAUUACUUCAUUACUCCCAUCUGUUUUCCAUCAGAAAGGCCUUAAAAUGCAAAUGAUCUUGUCCAAUGGAACCUGGGAGCAAUGAGGAAGGAGGACCCAGGAAGGAUGUGUCCCCGUGUACAGGAAGCCUGGGGGAG